GGGAAGCUGAAAAAUAAAGUAAAAUAAAUUGGUUCGUCGUUAUUCAAUGCAUUCCCAUAGCUUCGUUAAGGCCGCCACAAGUUUACUAACCUCAAACAAAACCCUCAAACAAAACCCUCAAACCCUAGAUUGAACUUCUCAAGUUCUUCUGAUCUUCUCUUCAUAUGAGCCGCUUCUUUGAGCUGGAAUCCCCAACAAAUCCUUGACAUACACCGCUCAAUUUAUAUGCCCCUCUUUCUCUCUUUAUUUCACGAAAUAUGCUAUGGAUUUAGGGGUUUAUUAGUUGAUUUUGUUCAAUCGAUUAAUGAAGUUGGGAUGGAUUUGGCUGUCAAAUUUUUGAAUCGUAUCUGCAAUUCUGCAAAUUAUGUAAUUUAUUAACGCUCAAGCCGAAAAUUAUGUAAUAUACGAGUCCAGUACAACUAAUUUGCAGGAAAAGCGGAGUUGUUUGAGAAAGAUGUUUCACAGUUUCCUGUUGCUGGUAAGAUAGAGUACUGGUAGAUUCGUGGCCGAGUCACGCAUACAAGUAUUCACUGGAACAUUGACCCUACAGAGGACCAUGUCUUCAGCUUUAUUGGGGUUUCGGCAACAGUGAAGUUGUAGUAGCCUUUCGUGCUUCGACAACCAAGGAUAUUGACUUGAAGACUAUUUAAAGGCUAAUUGGUUUGGUAAGAGUUGUUUGGAGUUUAUUUGGUAAUUUUUCCACAAUUUCUAACCUUUGGUGGAAUUUGAAUGCAGAAUCAGUAGGUGAAUUGAAAUUGUUCAAAAACUUUAGGAAGGAAAUUAAGUAAUUAUGAUGAAUUGGAGGACUAAGCGAACUGAAGUUGGUAACUCCAUCUGUUGUAAAUCUUGUCAUUUAGGGUGCAAAAUAUUCCUGUAAUGCAAAUUUUCAAAUGAAAUAGAAUAUGAAUUAUUGAUCCUCAAGUUGGUUGGGAUACAAUUUGAAUUCUUUAAUAUGAAGCUAACAUUUCUUGUUUUACAUAUUCUUUUAGUCUUGGCUAGUAGAGGCUUCUAUCAUCACUACUGCAAGUAGCAACUAGCAGCUUUCAGGAGGCAACGUUCCAUUGGUAGCACAUAAGAUUUUUAAAUCCAAUCUCCAGAUCGAGUGAUAGGUUUUAGAGGAGGAAUAAAGUUUAAAGAUACAAAGGGACAACAACGCAGUAGAGAAGAAGUCCACCAGAACAAAGUUCUUGCAUGUCACGUGGAGGACGUGAAGAGAACAAUGAAAUGAAGGCCAUAUUACUUUGGUUGAGUCUAAAAUGAAAAUAUUCGAAGAUAUGUUGGUGUCACAACUUAAUGUUGCAAUUCCUACUUCACAAUAUGGUUCGGAAUGUCCAUGUACUUAAAGAUGUGAAGUUAUCACGCUUCAUAUCGCUAUAGAGUCUUUAAUGUAGGUGUUUUUAGAAGUUUAAGAACAGAGAAUUGUACAAUUCUUUAGAUAUUCCUCUAGUUUAUAACAUGAAAUUGGAUCUUUAGUGUGGA